AGAUUAAGAAAAUCAAAUUAAAGCUUCUAACUUUUUAUUUAAGCGGAGAAUAACCGUUUUUAAUCUU
rnacentral:tRNA from 1 species